rnacentral:rRNA from 1 species
CACGUAGGGCGCGAGCGUUGUCCGGAAUUAUUGGGCGUAAAGAGCUCGUAGGCGGCCUGUUGCGUCCGCUGUGAAAGCCCGGGGCUUAACCCCGGGUCGGCAGUGGAUACGGGCAGGCUAGAGGUAGGUAGGGGAGAAUGGAAUUCCCGGUGUAGCGGUGAAAUGCGCAGAUAUCGGGAGGAACAUCGGUGGCGAAGGCGGUUCUCUGGGCCUUACCUGACGCUGAGGAGCGAAAGCGUGGGGAGCGAACAGG